rnacentral:rRNA from 1 species
UACGUAGGGUGCAAGCGUUGUCCGGAAUUAUUGGGCGUAAAGAGCUCGUAGGCGGUCUGUCGCGUCGGCUGUGAAAACCCGGGGCUCAACCCCGGGCCUGCAGUCGAUACGGGCAGACUAGAGUGCGGUAGGGGAGACUGGAAUUCCUGGUGUAGCGGUGAAAUGCGCAGAUAUCAGGAAGAACACCCGUGGCGAAAGCGGCUCUCUGGAACGGUACUGACGCUGAGACGCGAAAGCGUGGGGAGCGAACAGG